CGUGCUCUUCUCCGUUGCGGGCUUGUUGCCGAGUAUGGCAACCAGAAUCCAUAGCGGAAGUUUGGCUCUGGCGUGCCAUUUGUCCGUGUAUUGACUAUUAGAGAGAGAGAGAGAGAGAGAGAGAGAGCUUACGUCACCCUCGCCUUCUAUUAUUCCCCUUUUUUCCCCUCUUCCUCCGAGGCUCUCUUAUCGUUAAAAGCUUGGGCCUUGCUGCUCUCCUUCCGCCCCUUUUCCCGUUCACGCUUCCAAGACCUGGAAAUUUCUCCAGGUAUCUUCCUCUCCAUCUCUUCCUGCUUGUUUGGCGAUUUAUGCCGAUCUUCCUCUCCAUCUCUUCCUGCCUUUUUGGGGGAUUUAUGCCGAUUUUUAUGCACUUUUCCACACGAGGCAUGUGAUUUCGUAUGGUUUCGUGUCUAUUUAAUCUGGUAUCUUCAUUUCGUUUGCUCCAAGAUGCGAUUUUUCUCUUGCAGGUUGACAUUAUUUUUGAUUUGUGGUUUCUUAGUUAUUGUUUUGUGCUAUUCAUCUUAUAUACCUAAAUCUGUUAGUUUGAAGCGCACCAAGAUUAAUUUUUGGAUUGAUUUAUUGCCGUAUUGUGCUUCUUAUUUUGAUUUUUUGCCCCUACUUGGGUUGUUUCUUUCGUUCUUUAAGGUGUCUGUUAUACCUCAUUGGUUUUUAAGGGUUGAGGAGCUGUGAAUAUGGAACCCUAGAAACUUAUGCAAUCAUGUGGCUAGUCAGUGAACGAAGAAAAAACUAAAUAGAUGGCCGGGUUGUUGUCUGUGAAGCUAUAUUUUCUUGGAGCACAUGUUUGUGGUGUGAGCAGAAAUUACAGAUUUCAUGUUGUCAAGCAAUAAAAUUGAUGAAUUAGUCUAGUAAUACUUGAUUUCUUUUUGGAAAAUUUUCGUGAACCGGUCUUAUUAUUUUAAGUUAAUGAGCACACUUGACAUCUAUUCUCCUACCAGAAAUUCCGUUCUUGCCUUAUUAACUUGUCAUUUGUUUUCGUUGAAGGAAAUGCUUACUAUGGCACUUAUUUAGGUGACGCAUCGAAAGCAUGUGUUUGACUUGAUGUAUGGAUCGGGUUCUAUGUGGUUCAUCUAGCAAGUUUUUUUUGCUUUGUUACAUACGGUCUCCCACAGUGUUUUGGUGCGAAAUGGGCAUGACUUCAUUUUAGAGGCUCUCUUAUCGUUAAAAGCUUGGGCCUUGCUGCUCUCCUUCCGCCCCUUUUCCCGUUCACGCUUCCAAGACCUGGAAAUUUCUCCCUUUCCCCCCUCACUCAAGGUAGGAUUUUCCAUCCUGUGGCAUGCUAUUUAAUCUUGCAAUGUAGAUCGAUAAAAAGUCUCUUGCCAAGUAGAAUGCUAGUAUUCAGCAACCCACAUAUCAUCAGUAAGUUGCCCUCUACUGCAGGCUAAAACAUUAUAAUGGUCAAGCUAACU
rnacentral:lncRNA from 1 species